rnacentral:lncRNA from 1 species
AGGCGAAAAUAUAAAGUGGUGUGUGCGAUGCUGAAGCAGGUUAGUUAAUAAAUACAUAUUAUAUACACUCUCCAGUAUUAUAUUGAUCUGUAUAAUAUAAAUAUUACCAAUGUACCAGUGAAAUAAUGGGGAUGGAUUUAAUCACAUGUACUACAAAACCCUUGUGUUUGUGGAGGAAUUGUAUAUUGAUCAUGUUGAUGUUGAUAUUAGCGGUGUUGACAGUCCAACUGACCACCACCACUGAUAAUAAUAUCUUUAAUGGUCAAAUGAAACUACGUCAUUACGAGAUGAACCAAAAUAUAACAGACAUCAUGUGUAUAUAUGUAUAUACAUAUAUAUAUAUAUAUAUAUUAAUUGUUUCAGGCAUUUGACUGCGGUCAUGCUGGGGCAUCACCUUGAAUUUUUAGUCAAAUGUAUCGAUCCCAGUCCUUUCUUUUAUUUUAAGCAUAUCACUUAUCCUCUCAGCCUCUUUACCGAACCGCUACACACACACACACACAAAUGCAAACACUAACUCACACACACACACAUACAUAGGCACACGCAUAGACACACACCUGUUAUGAAGCUUCUUUCAGUUUUCAUUUACCAAAUCCGCUUAUAAGAUUUUGUUCAGCCCUAGGUAAGGGUAGAAUAUACUUGCCUGAGUUUCCAUGCGGAGGGAUUCAACGUGGAACCGUGUAUGGCUGGGAAAAAAGCUUCUUACACUACAACCAUGUAUAUAUGGAUGUGUGUGUCUAGCUAUUUCUUUCUUUCUAUCUAUCUAUCUAUUUAUCUAUCUAUCUAUCUGUCUAUCUUUCUAUCUAUUUAUCUAUCUAUCUAUCUAUCUAUCUAUCUAUCUAUCUAUCUAUCUAUCUAUUUAUCUAUUUAUCUAUCUAUCUAUCUAUCUAGCUAUCUAUCUGUCUAUCUUUCUAUCUAUCUAUCUAUCUAUCUAUCUAUCUAUCUAUCUAUCUAUCUAUCUAUCUAUCUAUCUAUCUGUCUAUCUUUCUAUCUAUCUAUCUAUCUAUCUAUCUGUCUGUCUGUCUGUCUGUCUGCCUGUCUGUCUAGCUGUCUGCCUGUCUUUCUGUCUCUCUAGCUCUCUCUCUGUCUAUCUGUCUAUCUAUCUAUCUAUUUAUCUAUCUAUCUAUCUAUCUAUCUAUCUAUCUAUCUAUCUAUCUAUCUUUCUAUCUAUCUGUCUAUCUUUCUAUCUAUCUAUCUAUCUAUCUAUCUAUCUAUCUAUCUAUCUAUCUAUAUCUAUCUAUCUCCUUUUCUAUCUAUCUAUCUAUCCUUCUAUCUAUCUAUCUAUCUAUCUAUCUUUUUCUAUCAAUCUAUCUAUCCCCCUAUCUAUCUAUCUAUCUAUCUAUUUUUUUUAAACCUUCAUAUAUAUAUAUAGCUCUACCUUCUAUUUGUUCUAUCUAUCUAUCUAUCUAUCUAUCUAUCUAUCUAUCUAUCUAUCUAUCUGAAAAGAACUGGAACGAGAUAACGAGUAGGGUGGUCUCGCCCGGCAAUGGGCCGAGAGGAAACUGUCCCUAAAAGGUCGGGCGGAGGUGGCGAACACGUACAUCGUGUCCGUCAUCUACUACCGCCUGACCGUCGUACCUUGUCCCGACCCUACCAUCACCAAACUACAACGCAUUCUCUUUCGCUUCUUGUGGAAAGGAUGCGUCCCGAUGGUCAGGCGAUCCAUUUGCUGUCAACACCCGUUAAAAGGAGGGCUGGGCAUGCCGUGGUUGAUGAUGCGCAGACACGCGCUGAGACUGCGGCAUCUCUGGCUCUAUGUAGACGACGGUGAACAGGUGUGGUCGCCGUUUGUGAGGCACGCUUUCCCGCAGCUCGUCUCCAUGACCGAACUGCAGUCGUGGAUCAAAAAGAGGCCGAAGAAGGGCGAAUGGCACCGCGAGUGUCGCGUUGCUCUCAAGCAACUCUGCCGUCCUGGGUCGACCUUGAGUGACUUCAACACAACCAAAGCAUUCUAUAGGGGUUUAGUGGAGGGGAGGUACGACGACGAGCUCGGGGCGAACCUGGACGUCGACGAGGAGUACCUGACCCGCCUGUUCAGGACGACUUUCGGGCCAGGGCCCAUGGACAACUUCCAGAGAUCCCUGGCCUGGCAGUGCUACCGAGAAGCGCUACCCGUUCGGGAUAAGCUCUACAGACACGGCUCGAGAAACACGGGGCCGACCUGCCCGAGAUGCGGUCAGAGCGACGAAACCGUUCUGCACGCACUCGUGCAGUGUCCAACAAUUUCCGACCUGUGGGCUUGUGUCGAACAACUGCUGUCACGUGUGGGACGAGUCGGUUUAUCAGCUGAGUCUAUCGUCAAUAUUGUCACGCCUCCUUCCUUCAAACGGGAAGGAAGAGCUAUUUUCAUCAUCCUUGUGGCUAUGGCGAAAGAAUGUAUCUGGUGGACGCGUCUGAAAGGAUUGGAGACAAACACUUUCCUCUCUGGUCAAUCUCUCAUCAACUUCUUCAAGUACCACUUGAAAAGGAAAGUGAGAGUAGAGAGGCAAGUUUUGUCUAGCGAAUGUUUUAAAAAAAGAUGGGUGAAUGUAGCAAGAAUGGCACGUAUGAAUGACGAAGCCACCUUGAGCAUGAUCCUAUGAACCCAGAAAUCGAAAACAGAGAGUUGCUUAUUUGCAAAAAAAAAAAAAAAAAAAAAGAAAUAUAAAAUGUGACUUCAUUGACCGAGGUUACCGUGGUCUUUUCCGUAGGCUUUUCUUUCCACGGGUAAACCUCACCUGUCCUCCCCUUUACACUUCAUAUUGACAUUUCUGUGAUAACGAUCCCUAUUGAUCAAUUUUUUUUUUUUUUUCCUCUCCCUUUUUUUUAACCCCCUUUUUUUGUCCUCUUUCUCUCCUUUUACGAUCCCUUUUGAUCGAAACUCCCCCUUCCUUUUUUUAUUUUUUUUUUUUAAACCUUCAAAAGAAAAGCUCUACCUUGUAAUUUGUUCUAUCUGUGUGCAGCCCUGUGUGGCUAAUAAAGAAACAUAUCUAUCUACCUAUCUAUCUAUAUAUCUUUCUUUCUAUCUGUCUGUCAAUCUCUCAUCAACUUCUUCAAGUACCACUUGAAAAGGAAAGUGAGAGUAGAGAGGCAAGUUUUGUCUAGCGAAUGUUUUAAAAAAAGAUGGGUGAAUGUAGCAAGAAUGGCACGUAUGAAUGACGAAGCCACCUUGAGCAUGAUCCUAUGAACCCAGAAAUUGAAAACAGAGAGUUGCUUAUUCGCAAAAAAAAAAAAAAAAAGAAAUAUAACAUGUGACUCCAUUGACCGAGGUUACCGUGGUCUUUUCCGUAGGCUUUUCUUUCCACGGGUAAACCUCACCUGUCCUCCCCUUUACACUUCAUAUUGACAUUUCUGUGAUAACGAUCCGUAUUGAUCAAAAAAAAAUUUUUUUUUUGCUCUCCCCCUUUUUUUAACCCCCCUUUUUUUCUCCUCUUUCUCUCCUUUUACGAUCCCUUUUGAUCGAAACUCCCCCUUCCUUUUCUUUUUUUUAAACCUUCCUCUAGCCUGUGUGCUAAUAAAAAUAUCUAUCUAUCUAUCUAUCUAUCUAUCUAUCUAUCUAUAUAUAUAUAUAUAUAUAUAUAUAUAUAUACUGGAGAUGAAUGGAUUUAUGGUUAGAUCGUAUGUGAUCUUCUUCUAGCAUAUGGCUGUCCACAUAGUGGUUUUUAGCCCUAAAUAUACACAUAUAUAUAUAUAUAUAUAUAUAUAUAUAUUAAACAAUGAUAGUUUUGAUUGUUAUUUUCAUAUUUGUGUAUGUCUAUGUCUCUAUUUGUGCGUUAUCACAUCAUCAUCAUCAUCAUCAUCAUCACCAUCAUUAUCAUCAUUUAACAUCCACUCACCAUACUGGCAUGUGUCGGCUGGUUUGACAGGAGAUUAUGAGUCGGUGAGCUGCCCCACGUUCCUGUCUGAUUUGGCAUGGUUUCUACAGCUCGAUGUCCUUCCUAAUGCUAACCACCCCAGGUGUGUAACUGGUGCUUUCAGAUGCCACCGGCACGGGUGCCACUUGCAUGACACCGACAAUGGCCACGACUACGAUUCACGGAUGGUUGCCAUUUAAAUGGCACCACCAACGACGAUAAUUCCCAGGUGCCAAUUUACAUGGCACCAUCGGUGACCACAACUAUGAUACCCAGGUGUCAUUGACAUGGCACCGGAAGCGAACAGCCACGGCUAUGAUGCACGGCUGCCACUUAUAGGACACUGGCACGACCACAUCCUUAUCGUCACUUGGCCUGACAUGUCCUCUCCCGCAGAGAAUAUCACCAGGGCUCUCGGUCACUUGUCAUCUCCUCUAUGAUGUCCAACGGUUGGAGAUCAUUCUUCAUCAACUCAUCGAAAGUCUUCUUGGGUCUCCGUCUUCCAAAGGAUCCUUCCACAGUUAGAGAUCGGCACUUUUUGACACAGCUGUCCAUGUCCAUACACAUCGCAAGACCAUACCAACGCAGACGUCUCUCUUGCACACCCUAUUUGAUGUCUUCAAUGCUCAGCUUUUCUCUCAAGGACUCCUAUACUCUGUCGUACAUGCACACUGACAUUGUACACCCAGCGAGACAUACUGGCUUCAUUUCUUUCAAGCCUAUGGAAGUCCUCAGAGAGGUCACAUCCCAUGUUUCACUGACAUGUAACAUAGUUGUUUACACACAGGCAUCAUAACGUCUGCCUUUCAAUCUCAGGGAGACGCUCUUUGUUACCAUUAGAGUUAAGAUUACUCUGAACUUUGCACAUCUUAUUCUUAUUCUUGCAGCUAUACUCAAGGAACAACCAACCACACUUCUGACUUGGCCACCGAGAUAGCGGAAACUAUCAACUACCAGUAGCUUACCUACCUGGCAAUUGAUGGCUCUAUUUUCUUUACAUUUGUGCUGUUUAUUGUACCUGUGCACCUUCCACACAGAAAAACUAUUAUCCCUGUUAACCUUCCUCUGAUAUUGCUGUAACACUUAUGUGUCCAUACCUUACACUGGGCACAUCUUAUGAACUUCCUACCUACGCUUUUUCUACAGAUCAAACAGUGCCAUCUUCCUAAGGAGAUUUGUGAAUUGUCCGCUUUCCUACUUACUAAGACUGGUUUUUGUUAGACUAAGUUUAGGGUCCUUUGAUUCUAGUCCUUACUGAUAUACCUAAAAUUUACCUAGUUCUGAAAGUUAUUCGGCUAUGAUAACAAGGUCAUCAGCAUUGGGGAUCUCCUAGAAGCAGUCAUCUUAAAUUCCUCUGUUAUUGCCUGGAGGACUCUGAUAAACAGGAAGGCGCUGAGGACUAAUCCAUGAUGAACCCCUACUUGUACCCUAAUUGAUUGCUACACACGAUGCCAAACCUCACCUUACUGACAGCAUCCCUGUACAUGACUUGUAACGCUCUCACCAACCAUUCGUCCAUCCCUAGCUUUUGCAGUGACCAGCAAAUAAGGGAUCGAGGAAUCCUGUCAAAGCCUUUCUCCGUGUUUAACAAAGGCCCAGUACAAGAGUUUAUCUUUGGCUAGGUACAUCUCCUGCAGCUGCCUUAUCAGGAAUAUAGCAUCAGAGGUGCUUCGCUCUGGCACAAAACCAAAUUGCAUCUUCUUCUGGUCUAACACACGUCCUAAUUAUUUUGUCUGUGACCCUCUGAGUAAUUUUCAUUGCUUCAUCUAAUAGUGUGAUACCUCUGUAAUUCUUUCCGUGCAAGCAUCAUCCUCCCUGUAUGUGUGUGUGUGUGUGCGUGUGUAUUUGUAAAUAUUUGGAAUUUGUGUAUACAUUUAGAAGUAUGCCGCUUAAAGAUCUUUCGCUGAUUCGGUUACCUCAUGUCAUCCACAGUUGAGCUAUAAGUGACACUGGAUCUACCUCAUGUAUUCUGCAGUGUUCGUUCAGUUUAUAAUGAAUGAGGGAAGCAGAAAAUGGAGUUAACGAGAAUUUUCAUUCAUCGCAACGAUUGUUUCAAUCCAUCUUGCAUCGGGCCCUUGCAGGUAGGAUAUUGUAUAACUGGUUGUUGUACAUCCUCCGUUGCAGAUGCAUGUCAUCGGGUGUCUUGUUUUAAAGAAGAUACCUCUGUAAAUAUAUUCGGUUUCGCUUGGAAUGUUGUUGUUGCCAGAAGGCUGUUGUCUCUCAUGUUGUAAUCCAAGAAGCUCCUAGCAACAACAUGUCAAGUGAAACUGAAUAUAUUUAGUGAGGUAUCUUUACAUUAAAACAAGGUACCCGAUGAGAUGCAUCUGCACUGGAGGAUGCAACACAACACGUUGUAUAGUAGCCCACCCGCAAGCGACCGUUGCAAGAUGGGUCGAAACGGUCGUUGUGAUGCAUAUUCUCGUGAACUCCGUUUCCCCAAUUCAUUAUAUGUAUUUAUAUAUGUAACACUGAUGUUUAUGUGUGUGUGUGCGUGCGUGCGCAUUAGUUUUAUGCAUGUGGACGCUAACCGGCUCAGCAGUUUUAUGAACCCCUUAUUAAUGUAGCAACGUCAAAAGUAAACAUUAGAAAUUAUAAUUCUUCUUUACUUGACUUGAUCUGCUAAUCAUGUGUUUACUCUAGUUCUGUUGCCCUACAACUUACUAUAGUGAGGGGCAAAUGUAGGACAUCUUAAUAUGUUUAUCAUGUCUCUAACACACACAUGUAUCAGGUUAUAGAAGGUCCUUAUGGAAGAUUUAUUUCACUGACAAACAUCAAAUGUAUUUGAUCAGUUUGAUCUAGUACCCAGUAGAAAACUGUAAUGACAUUGAUAUCAACCCUGAUUUUCAUGUAAAUUUUCAUUUUCCAUUUUUACCUCCACAAAGGAUUCGGUGAAUUUAGAAAUUGUGAACAAAGAAUAUAGGACACCAUUGCUUGAAGCUGUUUCGGACGGUCACCUCGGAAUAAUGCAGCGGCUGAUAGCCAGGGGCACGAAUGUAAAUGUUGUCGAACAUGGAGGAAAUAAUUGCCUGCAUCUGGCGUUAAAAAGAGAAAACAACUUUCAUUCUGAGGUGGAGCACAUGACCAUGUUAGAUCAGGUAAGUUUUCA